rnacentral:rRNA from 1 species
CCUACGGGAGGCAGCAGUGAGGAAUAUUGGUCAAUGGGCGCGAGCCUGAACCAGCCAAGUAGCGUGAAGGAUGAAUGCCCUACGGGUUGUAAACUUCUUUUAGAAAGGAAUAAAGUGAGGGACGUGUGCCUUUUUGUAUGUACUUUUUGAAUAAGGAUAGUCUAACUUCGUGCCAGCAGCCGCGGGAAUACGGAGGAUACGAGCGUUAGUCGGAUUUAUUGGGGUUUAAGGGAGCGUAGAUGGGUUGUUAAGUCAGGUGUGAAAGUUUGCGGCUCAACCGUAAAAUUGCAAUUGAUACUGGCAGUCUUGAGUACAGUUGAGGUAGGCGGAAUUCGUGGUGUGGCGGUGAAAUGCUUAGAUAUCACGAAGAACUCCGAUUGCGAAGGCAGCUUACUAAACUGCCACUGACAUUGAGGCUCGAAAGUGUGGGUAUCAAACAGGAUUAGAUACCCUUGUAGUC